CGGCCUCCCCAGCAGCAUCCAGCAGCGCUGAGCCGGGGCGACCGGUACGACGGGAUGGCUGCGCCGGUGCGGCAGCGGCAUUGCCCGUUCCGGGCUGGGGGCAUCACCGGCUGCAGCCGCAGCCGCUGGGGACCAGCCGUGGUGGCGACGGGCAGAGGACUCACCUAACCCCUGCGUGGACCUGGACCAAGGACCCAGCCUGUGCGGCCACGGGACAGACAGACAGACAGCGGCCAUGGAGGGACCCACCAGCUGCUGGAUAAGGACCCAUCCUCCCAGUCCCACCUCCAUCCCUCACCCUCAGCUCCCUGCAGAGCACUGGGGUCCCAGUGCCCCCUGUCCCCAGUAAACCCAUUCUGCAAUGACCA